rnacentral:tmRNA from 1 species
GUCCGGUGGGACAUCCCACAGCAGCUGGGCCUGUCACACCAGCUCGUGCGUAUGACUGGCGGGGCCGAGUAGAGACCAUGCGCACUACGCCCGUAGAAGCCCUGUUGAGCCGCCGGAGGACGCGGGUUCGAUUCCCGCCACCUCCACCA